AACGCUAGCUACAGGCUUAACACAUGCAAGUCGGGGGGUAACGAGAGGAAAGCUUGCUUUCCUUGUCGACGACCGGCGCACGGGUGAGUAACGCGUAUCCAACCUGCCCCCAACUAGGGAAUAACCUUGCGAAAGUAAGACUAAUACCCUAUAAUUUCCUCAGAUGUCAUCUGACGAGGAAUAAAGAUUUAUCGGUUGUGGAUGGGGAUGCGUCUGAUUAGCUUGUUGGCGGGGUAACGGCCCACCAAGGCAACGAUCAGUAGGGGUUCUGAGAGGAAGGUCCCCCACAUUGGAACUGAGACACGGUCCAAACUCCUACGGGAGGCAGCAGUGAGGAAUAUUGGUCAAUGGGCGGAAGCCUGAACCAGCCAAGUAGCGUGCAGGAUGACGGCCCUAUGGGUUGUAAACUGCUUUUAUACAGGAAUAAAGUUAGCCACGUGUGGUUAUUUGUAGGUACUGUAUGAAUAAGGACCGGCUAAUUCCGUGCCAGCAGCCGCGGUAAUACGGAAGGUCCAGGCGUUAUCCGGAUUUAUUGGGUUUAAAGGGAGCGUAGGCCGUCUGUUAAGCGUGUUGUGAAAUGUAGAUGCUCAACAUCUGAAUUGCAGCGCGAACUGGCAGACUUGAGUGUGCGCAACGUAGGCGGAAUUCGUGGUGUAGCGGUGAAAUGCUUAGAUAUCACGAAGAACUCCGAUUG
rnacentral:rRNA from 1 species